CUAUUAGGUCACCCAGGACCCACCAAAGUGAGACACCCCAAAACCACUGGAGAUAUUCUGGGACACCCCCAAACCCUCUGGAGAUCUUCUGGGACACCCCAAACCUCCUGGAGAUAUUCUGGGACACCCCAAACCCUCUGGAGAUGUCAUCCAUGGGACCACCUCCAUCCCUUGGGGACAAACAGGGACAAAUGGGGACAAAGCCACCCUGGACACCCCAAACUCUUGGAACCCUCUGAAGUCACCCAGAACCCACCAAAGUGAGACACCCCAAAACCCUCUGGAGAUGUUCUGGGACACCCCCAAACCCCCUGGAGAUGUUUUAGGACACCCCCAAACCCUCUGGAGAUUUCUGGGACACCCCCAAACCCUCUGGAGAUNCACCCCCAAACCCUCUGGAGAUGCUCUGGGACACCCCAAACCCCCUGGAGAUGUUCUGGGACACCCCAAACCCUCUGGAGAUGUUCUGGGACACCCCAAACCCUCUGGAGAUGUUUUAGGACACCCCCAAACCCCCUGGAGAUGUUCUGGGACACCCCAAACCCUCUGGAGAUGUUUUGGGACACCCCAAACCCUCUGGAGAUGUUCUGGGACACCCCAAACCCUCUGGAGAUGCUCUGGUUCACCCCAAACCCCCUGGAGAUGUUCUGGGACACCCCAAACCCCCUGGAGUUGUUCUGGGACGCCCUAAAACCUUCUGGAGAUGUUGGCCAUGGGGCCACCUCCAUCCCUUGGGGACAAAUGGGGACAAACAGGGACAAAUGGGGACAAAGCCACCCUGGACAUCCCAAACUCUUGGAACCCUCUCAGGUCACCCAGAACCCAACAAAGUGAGACACCCCAAAACCAUCUGGAGAUGUUCUGGGACACCCCAAACCCCCUGGAGAUGUUCUGGGACACCCCCAAACCCUCUGGAGAUGUUUUGGGACAUCCCCCAAACCCUCUGGAGAUGUUGUCCAUGGGGCCACCUCCAUCCCUUGGGGACAAACGGGGACAAACAGGGACAAACAGGGACAAAUGGGGACAAAUGCCACCCUGGACACCCCAAAGUCUUGGAACCUUCUCAGAUCACCCAGGACCCACCAAUGUGAGACCCCCAAACCCCCUGGAGAUGUUCUGGGACACCUCAAAACCCUCUGGAGAUGUUCUGGGACACCUCAAAACCCUCUGGAGAUGCUCUGGGACACCUCAAAACCCUCUGGAGAUGUUUUAGGACACCCCCAACCCCCUGGAGAUGUUUUGGGACACCCCAAACCCCCUGGAGAUGUUUUAGGACACCCCAAACCCUCUGGAGAUGUUCUGGGACACCCCCAAACCCUCUGGAGAUGUUCUGGGACACCCCAAAACCCCCUGGAGAUGUUCUGGGACACCCCAAACCCCCUGGAGAUGUUCUGGGACA
rnacentral:lncRNA from 1 species